AGAGGACUCUGCAUUAAGAAGGCAUGGACUAUACCUCCUUUUUUAUCAGUGGCUUGACUUUGGAUUUGUGAAAAGGAAGGCUUCACCAAGAUGGCGGCUUUCAAGAAUGCAUAGGAGUUUAUCCAGAAGGAAGAAGGAGGCAUCCUACAGAAUGUGGGGCAGGAGCCCAGACAUGAAGGGCAUACUUUGGGAAUGUCCAGUUCUCCAUUGUGAUAAGAGCAUUGGUGCAUAGACAGGCUGGAGUAGAUGGUAAGGUGAGCCAGAACUACUAAAAGAAUCUUCUGAGUAAUACAGUGGAGUUUGGAUUGUAAGCUCCUUAGACAGGAACUGUGACAUUCCCCCCUUCCCCCACUCCCUGGCAUCCAAUACAAAGCCUGACCCACAGUAGGUGCCCAAUGAAUGUUUUCUGAAUGAAUGAGAGCUUUCUUGGAGCGAUGAGGAACCAUCACAGUUUUUAAGCAGAGCCAUAAUGUUACUUCUUUGGGAAAGACAAUUUUGUACUGAAAAAAAGAUGAUAUUGGGCAAACCAAAAACAGAGGAAGAAUUAGGAGGCUGUUAGGCAAAGGAUGACAUAAAAUAGGAUAGUGACAGUGGGAACUGAGAUUGGAAGAUCUACUUGAGACUUUUGAAUGAGGUUGGAAUGACCAUAGGAGAUAAAGCAGAGGGAUGAGUCCAAAACAGCCCUGAGAUUUCUUGCUGGGGAAACCAGGUAGAUGAUGCAGCCACUGAAUGAGAAAGAAAAUUAGGGAAAAGGGUCAGAUUGUCAAACUGGGGUAAUAAACGCAAUUUUGUGUAUAUUGAGUUUGAGAGACCUGAGAAUGACAUUUUUAUUUUUAAUUUUUUACUUUUUUGUCUUUUUAGGGCCACACCAGCAUAUGGAAUUUCCUGGGCUAGGGGAUCAAAUUGAAGCUGUAGCUGCUGGCCUAUGCAACAGCCACAGCAAUGCCAGAUCCAAGCCACAUCUGGGACCUACACCACAGCUCAUGGCAAGGCUGAAUCCUUAACCCACUGAGCGGGGCCAGGGAUUGAACCCCCAUCCUCAUGGAUACUAGCCAGGUUCAUUACCACUGAGCCACAAUGGGAACUCCUGAGAAUAAUGUUUACAAAUUGUGGAUCUUAAACCACUCAUGGCUUAUGAGUUGAUACAAAUAUUUUUAAAUGAUCCAUUUUAAAGUGUAAUAUAUAUGUUAAG
rnacentral:lncRNA from 1 species